rnacentral:rRNA from 1 species
GAUGAACGCUGGCGGCGUGCCUAAUACAUGCAAGUCGAGCGAACGGACGAGAAGCUUGCUUCUCUGAUGUUAGCGGCGGACGGGUGAGUCACACGUGGAUAACCUACCUAUAAGACUGGGAUAACUUCGGGAAACCGGAGCUAAUACCGGAUAAUAUUUUGAACCGCAUGGUUCAAAAGUGAAAGACGUUCUUGCUGUCACUUAUAGAUGGAUCCGCGCUGCAUUAGCUAGUUGGUAAGGUAACGGCUUACCAAGGCAACGAUGCAUAGCCGACCUGAGAGGGUGAUCGGCCACACUGGAACUGAGACACGGUCCAGACUCCUACGGGAGGCAGCAGUAGGGAAUCUUCCGCAAUGGGCGAAAGCCUGACGGAGCAACGCCGCGUGAGUGAAGAAGGUCUUCGGAUUGUAAAACUCUGUUAUUAGGGAAGAACAUAUGUGUAAGUAACUGUGCACAUCUUGACGGUACCUAAUCAGAAAGCCACGGCUAACUACGUG